AAGCGGAGGAAAAGAAACUAAGGAGGCUUCCCUUAGUAACGGCGAGCGAACCGGAAGAGCUCAAAUUUGAAAUCGGCGUCUCCGGCCUCCGAGUUGUAAUCUACAGAGGCGUCUUCAGCGCCGGUCCGCGUCCAAUUCCCUUGGAACAGGGUAUCAAAGAGGGUGAUAAUCCCCUGCUUGACGCGACCGCCGGCGCGCUGUGAUGCGUCCUCUAAGAGUCGAGUUGUUUGGGAAUGCAGCUCUAAACGGGUGGUAAAUUCCAUCUAAAGCUAAAUAUUGGGGAGAGACCGAUAGCGAACAAGUACCGUGAGGGAAAGAUGAAAAGCACUUUGGAAAGAGAGUUAAACAGCACGUGAAAUUGUUGAAAGGGAAACGAUUGAAGUCAGUCGUGUCCGAGGGGUUCAGCUUUGGCGUACUCCCCUCGGACGGGUCAACAUCGGUUCCGUCCGGCGGACAAGGGCGGGGGGAAAGUGGCACUUCGGUGUGUUAUAGCCCCUCGCUUCACGUCGGAAGGGACCGAGGAACGCAGCUCGCCCUCACGGGCCGGGGUUCGCCCACGUCCGAGCUUAGGAUGUUGACAUAAUG
rnacentral:rRNA from 1 species